CUCCCUCCCCCCCCCUCUCUCUCUCUCUCUCUCUCAAGGGCUGGGUUGAAAGGUGAGAGUGACUACACCCAGCAGAAGAGGCUGUUUUUGAUACAGGCUAGUCCUGGCAUUGGUUGGACAGUGGAGAACAUUGUGAUACAAUCCAUUAGUGCAGCGAUGAGUUAUAUGCACGAAGUAGGCCACUGAGACCAUGUAUUUGAAGAACAUUAUCUUGUCUCUGGCUUCUUCCUGCCACUCUGUGCUUCCUACCUAUAAGGUCUUGUAGAUGCCUGUGGUCCAUGCUGUCACCUGAAGCCAUGUUGAUGUAUGUGAGCUGUGAUGCCACCUAGGACCAUGAAAAUGUGAGUUGUCUGCACUGCAACCUGAGGCUCUGUUGAUGUCUGUGAUCCAUGCUACUGCCAGGGGUCAUGUCUGGGUCUCUAGCCUACAAGAGCUGGGGGGCUGUGUUGAUGUCCCUGGCAUAUGUUACCACCAAAGGCUAUGUCUGAAGCCAUGUUAAUGUCUGUGGUCCAGGCUGGUGCUGGGGACCCCAUUCCUGUCCAUUGCCAGUAUUGUCACCAGAGAGUGUGCUGAGGUCCAUGACACAUGUUGAUGCUGGAGGACAAGUAGAUGUCUAUGAUCCCUGCUGUUGCCAGACACCAUGUGGAAGUCCAGAAUCCAUGCUCCUGCUGACUGUAAAUGACAAGGAAGCUUCUUCUGCAGUGUUAUAGAUGACUGCAGACUCACAGUUGAUUAAGAGGGACAUAGAAGGCUUCUAUGACAACUCCCACCCCACCCCCAAAUGUAACAACCUAGACAGAAGACCAUUGACGGGAACUCUUAAAAAUUGUAAUGAGGCAAACACAGAAGUGGAUGCUCACAGUCAACUAUUGGAUGGAUCACA